UGAUAAUUUUUUCAACAUAAUAUAUGCAUUAUUUAAUUUUUAAUAAAAUAUUUUAAAUAUAAUUAAAAUUAAUAACAUUUAUAUUUUCUAAAAGAUAUUAUUUUUUAUUAAUAAAUCAAUUAAAAAUACUUAGACAUGCGCAUGAGAAAGAAGAAUGUCAAUUUUAAUCCUCCAACUUCACCAAAACUCAUCCAAUAAAAAGUUCAAAAAUUGGUGUGAAAAGGGCCAGAAAGAUGGAAAACAUAGAAAUUGACUGGAAAAUAUUAAUAAAUUUAUAUUUUCACAAGUUUCUCUAUAACCAAAAUGACUGGAAAAUCAUUUGUUUCUUUACGUCAUCCAGCAUAGAAAAAUGGAAAACAAAAAUCCUUCUUUCCCGACUCUUCCUUUAUUUCUACCCAUUCUCAAUACCUUCCUCCAACCAUACAAAGGGUAGAAAAAAGGUGCUUGGAAUAAGCCUAUUAAUGAUGAUCUGAUAGACUAAUAUCGUUUGUUUCUGCUCAACUCUUAGAGGAAGUAUAGUUACGAAUAAAACUCGAGAUGAAUGAAUGAAAGAAAUGGAAGAGUGAGGAUGAAGCAGUUUAACCUACCUCCAGUGCACUGGACGCUGUAU
rnacentral:misc_RNA from 1 species